GAUGUCAGAUUAGCUAGUUGGUGAGGUAAAGGCUUACCAAGGCGACGAUCUGUAGCGGGUCUGAGAGGAUGAUCCGCCACACUGGAACUGAGACACGGUCCAGACUCCUACGGGAGGCAGCAGUGGGGAGUUUUGGACAAUGGGGGCAACCCUGAUCCAGCCAUGCCGCGUGAGUGAAGAAGGCCUUCGGGUUGUAAAGCUCUUUCGGCCGGGAAGAAAUCGCAUGGGUCAAUACCCUGUGUGGAUGACGGUACCGGAAUAAGAAGCACCGGCUAACUACGUGCCAGCAGCCGCGGUAAUACGUAGGGUGCGAGCGUUAAUCGGAAUUACUGGGCGUAAAGCGUGCGCAGGCGGUUUUGUAAGACAGGCGUGAAAUCCCCGGGCUUAACCUGGGAACUGCGUUUGUGACUGCAAGGCUAGAGUACGGCAGAGGGGGGUGGAAUUCCACGUGUAGCAGUGAAAUGCGUAGAGAUGUGGAGGAACACCAAUGGCGAAGGCAGCCCCCUGGGUCGAUACUGACGCUCAUGCACGAAAGCGUGGGUAGCAAACAGGAUUAGAUACCCUGGUAGUCCACGCCCUAAACUAUGUCAACUAGGUGUUGGGUGGUAAAACCAUUUAGUACCGUAGCUAACGCGUGAAGUUGACCGCCUGGGGAGUACGGCCGCAAGGUUAAAACUCAAAGGAAUUGACGGGGACCCGCACAAGCGGUGGAUGAUGUGGAUUAAUUCGAUGCAACGCGAAAAACCUUACCUGCCCUUGACAUGCCAGGAACUUGCCAGAGAUGGCUUGGUGCCCGAAAGGGAGCCUGGACACAGGUGCUGCAUGGCUGUCGUCAGCUCGUGUCGUGAGAUGUUGGGUUAAGUCCCGCAACGAGCGCAACCCUUGUCGUUAAUUGCCAUCAUUUGGUUGGGCACUUUAACGAGACUGCCGGUGACAAACCGGAGGAAGGUGGGGAUGACGUCAAGUCCUCAUGGCCCUUAUGGGUAGGGCUUCACACGUCAUACAAUGGUCGGUACAAAGGGUUGCCAAGCCGCGAGGCGGAGCCAAUCCCAGAAAGCCGAUCGUAGUCCGGAUUGCAGGCUGCAACUCGCCUGCAUGAAGUCGGAAUCGCUAGUAAUCGUGGAUCAGCAUGUCACGGUGAAUACGUUCCCGGGUCUUGUACACACCGCCCGUCACACCAUGGGAGCGGGUUCCGCCAGAAGUAGGUAGCCUAACC
rnacentral:rRNA from 1 species